GUCCCUGUAGCUCAGUGGAUAGAGCGCAGCCCUCCGGAGGCUGAAGCCCGAGUUCGAGUCUCGGCAGGGACG
rnacentral:tRNA from 2 species